UCCAGACUCCUACGGGAGGCAGCAGUGAGGAAUAUUGGUCAAUGGACGAGAGUCUGAACCAGCCAAGUAGCGUGAAGGAUGACUGCCCUAUGGGUUGUAAACUUCUUUUAUAUGGGAAUAAAACGUUCCACGUGUGGGAUUUUGUAUGUACCAUAUGAAUAAGGAUCGGCUAACUCCGUGCCAGCAGCCGCGGUAAUACGGAGGAUCCGAGCGUUAUCCGGAUUUAUUGGGUUUAAAGGGAGCGUAGGUGGAUUGUUAAGUCAGCGGUCAAAUCGUGGGGCUCAACCCCAUCCAGCCGUUGAAACUGGGGAUCUAGAGUGUGCGAGAGGUAUGCGGAAUGCGUGGUGUAGCGGUGAAAUGCAUAGAUAUCACGCAGAACCCCGAUUGCGAAGGCAGCAUGCCGGCUUCCGACUGACGCUGAAGCACGAAAGCGUGGGGAUCGAACAGGAUUAGAUCCCCGCGUA
rnacentral:rRNA from 1 species